CAACAUCAAUACCACCUCCGGUGGCAUGACUUUUGUUUCUGAUCUACUUAUCAGAGACAGCAGUGAUUGCAGGCUGCACAGUGCAACUCCUUCAUAAACAGAAAGCCAUGAAACUUCAGGAUGCAGCAACUUCUCAGAUGAAUAUCUCUCAGACGCACAUAGCAAGAUAUCUUGGUUCUUACAAAUACGACUGCAUUUUAGAUAAAAAGUCAGCCAAUCAGACAUGCAAUGUCCACAUCAAGAGAGGAAGGAGGAGAAAGAGAGAAGACCGCUUGUAAACGACUGAAAAUUGCAACCACGACAACAUAUAACUUUGAAAGGAUAUCCGUCUGGGCAAAUCA